UUAGGUUUUAAGUCCUUAUCCAAAGGUCCAUUACGUUGAGAACGAACCAGUCGUCUAUGUUUCAGCUCAGCUGGACUAUCUAGAUUUAACUCCAAAUCAAAGGACGAGUAAUAUACUCGAUUUUCAGAUUUGGGAUAGUAGGAUCGUUGAAAGACGACGGGGAAAGAGAAUUGAAGAAAAUCAAGAUACAAAAUAGGGAUAGUGACGAGAGACAUGUGCUUAGAUCUAAAGUCUUUGAUUUUUCCAAAGGAUAUAUCAUCCAGCCAAUUAACGGAUGGAACAUCGCCCAACUGUAAUUUGAGAAGUAAACCGUCAAGCCGGUUUAUUUCUUUAACUUGUUCUAGUUCCAACGAUGUUGGCGAGUACUUCUUUAUUUCUUUUGAAGUCUGUAAAGGUAUUUUUUGGAGACCUUGCCUUAGUAAAUUAUUUUCAUCAAAAAGUCGAUACGUUGUACAGCCCACAAAUUCAUAGACUUCCUCAUCAUUAAAGGAUGGUUUCCAGGCAGACACUACAAAUUUUGCGUUCAAUGAGAGCUCAGAAACGGUAACCCCAAAGUCGAGCCACUCAUGAGUUGAUAUCUUAGAAAGCUCAGUAGGAAGUAGACUCUUAUUUGGUAUUUUUGAAACGAAACAUUUUUGCAUUAAAGAUCCUGAUUCAUUCCCUGAAAACAAUUGAAUGGUGCAAAUGCAUGGUUCUUGACUAUCUUGAUAUUCAAUGAAGCAAAAUUUAACCAAGAAUCUGGCAGUCACCUUGCUUGAAGGACAAUAUGAAAAAACAAGUCUAUCCAUUCCAUAUGUAAAGCAUUUAUUUUUUGGAAAUUUCACUUUUUACCAUACAAAUAAUAGCCUGGGAUUGUUAAUGUGGUGGUGUACUAGCUUUACUAAAUGUGGUAAGACAAGAAAGGCUGUAGCUAAAGUACACGAAGCAAUGAUGAAUUAUAAUACUGUGGAAUUUAAGAAAUACUUCGUAAAAUAAGUACAAAAUGCUGAAUACGGUAUAAUAAUAAUAAUAUCUCAUAAUCUACUACACAAGUGUUUUUGCUGUAAUUUUUGAAAUACAAAAAAUAGGACGCAUUCAUCUCUACAUCUCGAUGUAAAGUCAAGUUUUGAGUGUCUGAACAUAACACUGUAAGCAAAGCUUGAGGCGGAAUAAAUGGUAAAGCCGAAGAAGCUAAAACUGCUCUGAAUAAUUGAUCACCUAUACCCUCUAUGCGCUAAUGGUGUUUUAUGUUUUGUGUUUGCUCACAUUGAAUUAAUUAUUUUUAGUUUUCAAGCACCGGAACGACUAGGAACUAAGCAACAAUUGCUGCUUGGUUAACAAUACGAUCAACUAUGUGGUUCAUUCAACAGCACAUAAUCUUUUGCAAUAAUUG